rnacentral:rRNA from 1 species
GGUGACAAACCGGAGGAAGGUGGGGAUGACGUCAAGUCAUCAUGGCCCUUACGGCCUGGGCUACACACGUGCUACAAUGGUCGGUACAGAGGGUUGCCAAGCCGCGAGGUGGAGCUAAUCCCAUAAAACCGAUCGUAGUCCGGAUCGCAGUCUGCAACUCGACUGCGUGAAGUCGGAAUCGCUAGUAAUCGCGAAUCAGAAUGUCGCUGUGAAUACGUUCCCGGGCCUUGUACACACCGCCCGUCACACCAUGGGAGU